rnacentral:rRNA from 1 species
GUGACCUCAAAUCAGGUAGGACUACCCGCUGAACUUAAGCAUAUCAAUAAGCGGAGGAAAAGAAACUAACAAGGAUUCCCCUAGUAACUGCGAGUGAAGCGGGAAAAGCUCAAAUUUAAAAUCUGUCAGUCUUUGGCUGUCCGAGUUGUAAUCUAGAGAAGCGUUAUCCGCGCUGGACCGUGUACAAGUCUCCUGGAAUGGAGCGUCAUAGAGGGUGAGAAUCCCGUCUUUGACACGGACUGCCAGGGCUUUGUGAUGCGCUCUCAAAGAGUCGAGUUGUUUGGGAAUGCAGCUCAAAAUGGGUGGUAAAUUCCAUCUAAAGCUAAAUAUUGGCGAGAGACCGAUAGCGAACAAGUACCGUGAGGGAAAGAUGAAAAGAACUUUGGAAAGAGAGUUAAACAGUACGUGAAAUUGCUGAAAGGGAAACGCUUGAAGUCAGUCGCGUUGUCCAGGGAUCAACCUUGCUUUUGCUUGGUGUACUUUCUGGUUGACGGGUCAGCAUCAAUUUUGACUAUUGGAAAAAGAUUAAGGGAAUGUGGCAUCUUUGGAUGUGUUAUAGCCCUUGGUUGCAUACAAUGGUUGGGAUUGAGGAACUCAGCACGCCGCAAGGCCGGGUUUUUAACCACGUACGUGCUUAGGAUGCUGGCAUAAUGGCUUUAAUCGACCCGUCUUGAAACACGGACCAAGGAGUCUAACAUGCCUGCGAGUGUUUGGGUGGAAAACCCGAGCGCGUAAUGAAAGUGAAAGUUGAGAUCCCUGUCGUGGGGAGCAUCGACGCCCGGACCAGACCUUUUGUGACGGUUCCGCGGUAGAGCAUGUAUGUUGGGACCCGAAAGAUGGUGAACUAUGCCUGAAUAGGGUGAAGCCAGAGGAAACUCUGGUGGAGGCUCGUAGCGAUUCUGACGUGCAAAUCGAUCGUCAAAUUUGGGUAUAGGGGCGAAAGACUAAUCGAACCAUCUAGUAGCUGGUUCCUGCCGA